CCAUUUCAAUCCAUUUCUACUGUAAUCAAAAANCGUAACAAGGUUUCCGUAGGUGAACCUGCGGAAGGAUCAUUG
rnacentral:rRNA from 1 species